UGACCUCAGAUCAGGCAAGGCUACCCGCUGAAUUUAAGCAUAUUAAUAAGCGGAGGAAAAGAAACUAACAAGGAUUCCCCUAGUAAUGGCGAAUGAAGCGGGAACAGCUCAAAUUUAAAAUCUCCGUUGCUUGCAACGGCGAAUUGUAGUUUCGAGAAGCACUUUCUCGGCGGAUCCGAGGUCGUCCAAGUUGCUUGGAACAGCACGUCGUAGAGGGUAAAAACCCCGUCUGCGGCGACCUCGGUCGUUCACGAUGUGCUUUCGACGAGUCGGGUUGUUUGGGAAUGCAGCCCAAAAUGGGUGGUAAACUCCAUCUAAAGCUAAAUAUUGGUACGAGACCGAUAGCGAACAAGUACCGUGAGGGAAAGAUGAAAAGCACUUUGAAAAGAGAGUUAAAAAGUACGUGAAACCGUUAAAAGGGAAACGAAUGGGGUUAGCAAUGCGUCGUGCGAGAUUCAGCCUGUGGGUGGGCCAGGCGGGCGGUUGGCGGAUCUGAAUGGACCGCUGCCGUUCGGGUUGGUUUCCCGACCGUCGCACUUCUCGCAGGCGCGCGCCAACGUCGGUUAGGGCUGGGUCUCAAAGGCGGUGGGAAAGGUAGGUUUGGACUCUCGGGCCCGAACUGUUACAGUCCUCCGUUUGUCAUGGCCCGGACCUGACCGAGGAGCUUGCGGUGCAUGCCGUUCGGCUAGGGUCCCGUCUUCCCGGUCGGUCGUCGAAUGCGGUGGACUGCGUGCAGUGCGCCGCGACUGCUGCCGGUCGCGAGGGC
rnacentral:ncRNA from 1 species